CCUAUGUAUUUUGAUCUUCAAUAGCUCGUUGGCUUCAAGUGUCUCAAUAAAAGAAGUGGCAACAUUUUCAGUAACACCAGACUUGCCCACUAACUGGCACUUGAGCUUCUUACCCAAUCCAUGCGCAUAAGAAGCUAACUCUUUCUUUUCCUUUACUGUCAAAUUCGGUACUUUUGAACUAUUUCUCUUCGACCCUUCUUUACAGGAACCAUCACCAGCGUCAACAGAAAUAGCACUGACCUCCAAUUCUAAGUUUUCACUUCCACUAUCAAUA
rnacentral:misc_RNA from 1 species